rfam:Aedes aegypti strain Liverpool supercont1.60 genomic scaffold, whole genome shotgun sequence.
UGUUCUGUAGCUUAGUUGUUUAAAGCACCGGUCUAGCAUACACGGAGGCGUGAGUUCUAGUCUCACUAGAACGC